AAGAACCAACAGGGAUUGCCCCAGUAACGGCGAGUGAAGCGGCAACAGCUCAAAUUUGAAAUCUGGCCCUCGCGGUCCGAGUUGUAAUUUGCAGAGGAUGCUUUGGGCGCGGCGCCUUCCGAGUUCCCUGGAACGGGACGCCGGAGAGGGUGAGAGCCCCGUACGGUUGGACGCCUAGCCCUUGUAUAGCUCCUUCGACGAGUCGAGUAGUUUGGGAAUGCUGCUCUAAAUGGGAGGUAAAUUUCUUCUAAAGCUAAAUACCGGCCAGAGACCGAUAGCGCACAAGUAGAGUGAUCGAAAGAUGAAAAGCACUUUGAAAAGAGGGUUAAAUAGCACGUGAAAUUGUUGAAAGGGAAGCGUUUGCGACCAGACCUCUUCCGGGCGGAUCAUCCGGCGUUCUCGCCGGUGCACUCCGCCCCGGAUUAGGCCAGCAUCGGUUCCUCUAGGGGGAUAAAGGCGGGGGGAACGUAGCUCCCUCGGGAGUGUUAUAGCCCCCCGCGCAAUGCCACUCGGGGGACCGAGGACCGCGCUUCGGCAAGGAUGCUGGCGUAAUGGUCGUCAACGACCCGUCUUGAAACACGGACCAAGGAGUCGAACAUUUGUGCGAGUGUUUGGGUGCCAAACCCUCACGCGUAAUGAAAGUGAACGGAGGUGAGAGCCCUCGCGGGUGCAUCAUCGACCGAUCCUGAUGUCUUCGGAUGGAUUUGAGUAAGAGCACAACUGUUCGGACCCGAAAGAUGGUGAACUAUGCGUGGAUAGGGUGAAGCCAGAGGAAACUCUGGUGGAGGCUCGCAGCGGUUCUGACGUGCAAAUCGAUCGUCAAAUCUGCGCAUGGGGGCGAAAGACUUAUCGAACUAUCUAGUAGCUGGUUACCG
rnacentral:rRNA from 1 species